GACAGAGGGGGCAAGCGUUGCUCGGAAUCACUGGGCGUAAAGGGCGCGUAGGUGGUUUGAUAAGGGUGUGGUGAAAGUCCGGGGCUCAACCCCGGAUCUGCCGUGCCGACUGUCAAACUCGAGGGCUGUAGAGGCAGACGGAAUUCCGGGUGUAGCGGUGGAAUGCGUAGAGAUCGAGAGGAACACCUGCGGCGAAGGCAGCUCGCUGGAACGUUACUGACGCUGAGACGCGAAAGCGUGGGGAGCAAACAGG
rnacentral:rRNA from 1 species